GCGACUGUAGUUUAACGGUUAGAAUACCUCGUUGUGGCCUCUCAACUGGUUCCGAGGAGAUGGAAGUUCGAUUCCUCCCAGUCGCA
rfam:Colletotrichum chlorophyti strain NTL11 CCHL11_scaffold60, whole genome shotgun sequence.